CCAACGGUUCUACUUGGCAGAACCACUAAUUAAAACAUAAAAACUCAAU
rfam:Triticum aestivum genome assembly, contig: Triticum_aestivum_CS42_TGACv1_scaffold_210793_3AS